GAAAUGCGAUAAGUAAUGUGAAUUGCAGAAUUCAGUGAAUCAUCGAAUCUUUGAACGCACAUUGCUCUCGCCAGUAUUCUGGCGAGCAUGCCUGUUCGAGCGUCAUUUCAACCAUCAAGCUCUGCUUGCGUUGGGGAUCCGCGGCUGCCCGCGGUCCCUCAAAAACAGUGGCGGGCUCGCUAGUCACACCGAGCGUAGUAACUCUACAUCGCUAUGGUCGUGCGGCGGGUUCUUGCCGUAAAACCCCCAAUUUCUAAGGUUGACCUCGGAUCAGGUAGGAAUACCCGCUGAACUUAAGC
rnacentral:misc_RNA from 1 species